rnacentral:ncRNA from 1 species
CUUAUCAAGAGCGGUGGAGGGAACGGCCCUGUGAAGCCCGGCAACCUGUGCGGAUGCAUAAGGUGCCAAAUCCGGCGGUGAAACGAAAGAUGAG